rnacentral:lncRNA from 1 species
CAGCCACCACCGGGCUCACGUCGCUCAUCUUGCCGGGCUGCAGGCUGCUGGAGGGGGGGCUGAAGCGCCGGCUGGUGCUCGGAUCUACAGGAAUACGCAUCACAACAGCCACAAGUUGGGUAGCGGGUGGGGACACCCGAGAGGCGCGGAUCUCCACCGGGAGGCUUGGGAGUCCCUGGCGGUGGCUGCAACGAGCGGGACGCGGGGGCGUGUUUGGCCCAGCCGCCGCAAGGGACUUGAAGUUAACAGCUUGCAGUAGGGGCCCCUUGGGGCACCGUGUCCUGGGUGCGCUGGCGCCCCGCUCCGGGUUCCAGUACGGUAGUGGAGCCCCGCAGGUUCAGCAGUCCAUCUCGGCGGUGCGUGUGGCUCCUCGCUGUCCGCCACCGCCAAGCAGAGCGCGGCUGCCCAGCUCGCGGCGCCGUCGCUUGCCCGCGCCGCCUCCUCCGCCUCCUCCUCCGAGGCCGCUGCGCGCUCCCCGCGCCGGCAGCGCGCUCCGAGUCCUCCGGCCGCCGAGUCCUUCCUUUCCCCGGCUUCUCCUCUCGCCCUCUCCUUCGCCGCCGUCUAGCUCGCAGCCUCGUCUCUCCUGCUCUUUGCAAAGUGCCCCGGGCCCCCCUCGCGUUUCAAGGUGCCGGGAGGGCGGAUCUCGGGGCGACAGAUCUGGAGCCUGCGGAUCGCAGCCGCUGCCGCCGCCCGCCGGCCGCUAGAAGCCACGACUCAAACUGAGGCGAUCAUUAUACUGAUGGGAAUCAGAAGCACGUGGGUGUCUCCGACCAGCCUCAAAUUCUGAGCCUUCAAAACAAAUCAAACAACGUGCGGCGGCGCCCACAGAAGCCGGGAAAUCCGCCGGAGGCUGAUACACCCCAAGAACCAGGCAGAAGCAAUAUCGGGCUGGCUCACCUCUCAGCGUGAUGUUCUGUUAUAUGUCUUGCCUAACCUAUUAUUUUAAAACUUCCAACGCUUCCAAAUAGAAUCAUUUUACCA